rnacentral:lncRNA from 1 species
GCAUUGCUAGCUUAGUAUGUCUAGCAUGGGCAUGCCUGCUGAAGUUUGGAACUUCCCAUCAAGGAAACAGGAAAAUGCCAUUGGCAAUGAGCUGAAGACUGAUUUACUCUACCAGUUUGGAACAUCUGUUAUUGCUGCUACUACGGUUUCUAUCACUGUUUGAUGCUGGGACUCUUAAGCUCCAACCACGUUUUCACCGAGCUGAGUCGCCUUCUUAUCACCCCUUUCUGGAGCAGCAGGACAUCUGGGGAUGAGAAGAUGGAGAGAUCAUCCUUAUAUAAUGUUGCAGUCUGGAAGCAUCACUCUCAAAAAGCCAUUGUAGAGAAUCCAAGCCGAGUUUAAGAGUGCUGUGGAAAUACACUGCUGCUACUGCUGUUUCUAUUACUGUUUGAUGCUGGGACUCUUAUGCUCCAACCACGUUUUCACCCAGCUGAGUCGCCUUCGUAUCACGCCUUUCCAGUUUUGAUAGACUAGAAAAAUGACAAGACUCCAAGUCCUUGAAGAGGAGGAAAAGUGUGAAGAAAACAAAAAAGGGAGAUUUAUGUCUGCUUCACCAUUUUGCCCAAGACUUGACCUGUCAUACACUGAAGCUCAGAGAGGAAGAAAGGACCGUGUGAGAGAAGAAGGGAACAGCCUUUCAUCCAUAGGAGAAGUUCGUCUAUGACAAAGCCACUAGCUCCAUGUGGCCGCUGAGCACUCAAAAUGUGGCCAGUCUGAAUUGAGAUAUGUUGUUAGUAUAAAGUCCACAUCGGCUUUUUGAGCACUUUGUAUGAGAAAAAAGAAUACCAAAU